rnacentral:rRNA from 1 species
GACGAACGCUGGCGGCGCGCUUAACACAUGCAAGUCGAGCGAGAACCGGUCCUUCGGGACCGGGGACAGCGGCGAACGGGUGAGUAACACGUGGGUAAUCCACCCUCGGCACCGGAAUAGCCCGGGGAAACCCGGAUUAAUGCCGGAUGGCCCUUUCACUCUUCGGGGCGAAAGGAAAAGGUAGCUUCGGCCUCUGGCCGAGGACGAGCCCGCGGCGGAUUAGCUUGUUGGUGGGGUAACGGCCUACCAAGGCGACGAUCCGUAGCUGGUCUGAGAGGACGAUCAGCCACACUGGGACUGAGACACGGCCCAGACUCCUACGGGAGGCAGCAGUGGGGAAUCUUGCGCAAUGGGCGAAAGCCUGACGCAGCGACGCCGCGUGAGGGAAGAAGGCCUUCGGGUUGUAAACCUCUUUCAGGAGGGACGAAGCCACUCGGGUUAAUAGCCCAGAGGGUGACGGUACCUCCAGAAGAAGCCCCGGCUAACUACGUGCCAGCCGCCGCCGUAAAAC